UUUUUAUUAAACUUAAUUCUAUUGGCGGUUUGCCAUACUUUCACAGGAAUUUGUUAAUUUAAUUUGAUACCCCGCUUUUAUUAUUACUUUUGUUGUUUUUAUGUACGGCUGUUUUUAUUUUAAUUUGGGUUUUUUUAUUUCAAAAUUAUUUUUUUAAUUCAGGUCAAUGUGUAGAUCAUACAAAAGUUUUUUAAUGAGUUACUUUAAUAGGAUUAAUGUUUUAUUUUUUUUUGAAUUUGGAUGUGGUAGUAAAUAUUUAUAAUAAAAUUAAGUUUUGAUAAAGUACCUGGUUAAAGUACAUAUCGCCCGUCACUCUUUUGAUAG
rnacentral:rRNA from 1 species